GACAUUAUUCAUGGCGAAUUAAAUUUGUGAUAUUUUGAUUUUAAAAAACAUUUAAUUAUGAAUUAGCCGUUAAAAUAGUACUGUAGUGUCAUGUUUAAUAUCUGUCAUGAAUGAAAACGAGUGUGUGAGGGACAAGCUCACUUCCGUUAAUUGAUUUUAACAACACGACAAUUGUUCAGCUGCUUUUAUUAGACAAAAUCUCAAUAAAACAGUUCGGAAAGUUGUGAGUUUUGAAAAUUGUAUGUGAUAUUACACCAUUAUACAGUGUGUGCCAUUGUAAAGAUCGUAAAUAUAUCUUCAAAUUAAUAUUCCCUGAAGGUCUGUUAAAACGGUAUAUACGUUACUAAAAGGAAAAAAAAAAACACAAUGACAAAGUGAAAACGAAUACUAAAUUACAAUUUCAAUUUAUUCAUGGUAAUAAUGACCUUUAAAAUAGCAUGUAAAGCGUUAGUUUAUUUACACUUUUAGUUAUUUCCAUGUUAAUGAUCUGAUUCAUCCGUUUCCUUCAGAUUCAUGAGGUGAGUAUAAAUUAUUUCAUACAGUCUAUAUUUACAUGCAAGUUAAAUAUGAAAUUGCAGUCAUUUUCUUCUUUGACUCCAGGAUCAGCGAUCAUGAUCUUCUUCACAGUGACUGUGCUCAUGAUGUCUUCCUGUGAGAGCUCCGCCCAUCAUGAUGUCAUAUCCUGUGGGAGAGAGGAAUUCGAUUGUGAUUUUCAGGAAGGCUGACCCAGCGCUGGUCUCCGGUCCGAAUGGCUCCGGAUCUCACUGUCGUACUGCAGUCUUCCUCACCGGUGCCGUAACCCGCAGCCCACUGCUCAUAGCACAGGGUCUGACCGUUCACCCAGAACCAGAGGCCGACCACACAGGAGUGACGGAGACCCAGCCACACGUGAGGGGAGGAGGCGCUCGCGGUCACGUUCUCCACUCGACGCUGGACGUCCUCCGAGAACACCGACACCAGUAUCUCUGAGCUUCAGUCCAGCGCAGGUUCUGAUUCACAACGUGAUACUGACGCAGAGCUCCUGCAGACAAACUGACCACAGCUGAGAAGAGACACAUUCACACAGAUCAAGACUCGCAUCCACACUAUUUCAAGAGCUCAAACUGCAGACGCUUGAAGUUCACAAUGAAGAAACUCUUUUCAGAAACAACUCUUUGUAUUGACUCGAGCUUGAAAGUGGACUCUUUUUAUUUGUGAUCAUCAGCAUCACAUUCACACUGAUGUGUUUUUAGCAAUCAAAACCAUUUGAAUAUAAUUUACCAGGGCUGUACGCUUAGAUUUUGUAGGAGCAUGUAUGUAUUAACUAAUCUUCAUAAUUUCUAACUUAAAAAGGUGUGCACAUCACAAACCCUAAUUGGGCUCAGGUGCGUCCAUCAUACAAGUAUGAAGAGUUUACAGCUCCAAAAUCAUUUAUUAAUAAAUGUUUUGACCAUCGGGUCUUCAUCAGGCACAAUACACUUGUGGAGUUAGAGGCAACUCUUUAUAAGCACAGGUAAUUAGAAACACUCAAAACCAUGUGACAAAUGACACUCAGAAUCAUAGAUUGAAAUGUUUUAAAUAUAACAUUUUGAAUAUAAAAAAUAUGAAAUGAUGUGAAAAAUAAAAUACUUUUAAACAUGAAACUAAAACCACCAGUAGGUGGCAGCAAAUCACUGUCUUAACGAGUCAGUCAUUCAUUUAGCCAAUGUGAUUCACGAGUGAAUCAAGCAACUGAAUCAUUGACUCACUCAAUUCGUUCAAAACCACUGAUUCAUUCAGUAACAAAACUGCUGUUGCUCAGAGAUGCACAACGGUGGCUUUGUGUGGGACUGUUUUCAUUGGUGAAAUAGAGCAAAAAAAGACAAAAGUGUCUCAAAAUGUAAAUAACUUUGCAAUUGCUAUGAUAUUCAGGAAAUAGCAGGGUUUUUUUGGGGGCAUUUUUAUUAUAUUGGUUAUUUUGCCCCAAGCCAUAAUUACAUAAACACAAUGUUCAAUCUCCGAUGUGUCCGUCUCACACAACUUUCUCUUGCUCUGAUGACUGAAGGCAUGAAAACCAGCCGAUCGCAGUGCUAAACUGGCCUAUAGAGCCAUAAAAUAACAAUCAUUCUAUUAUUAUUAUAUUAAAAAUGGGGUAGGAUUGAACAAUUUAACUCCGAAAUUGCAAGUAAAUUAAUUAAAAAGAAAUAGCUAAUAAAACAUUGAAUUAAACAUGAAAUUUUGAAGCAGAAAGACUGAAAUAGUAUUUUCUUGUAAAACAUGCUCCAGUAAUCUUUAUUUUGAGGAAUCCCUCACUUUCAGCACAGAACUAACACGAUGAGCAGCAGAACUAAAC